rnacentral:rRNA from 1 species
UGUAAAGUUCAAGCUCCGAUUAUGAGGGCGAAACCGCGAAUGGCUCAUUAAAUCAGUCAUAAUCUACUUGAUUGUUUAAAGUUUAUAUGGAUAACUGUGGUAAUUCUAGAGCUAAUACAUGCACAAAUGGGGCGACUUUUUUGUCAAAGAGAAAGAAGCUCUGCGUUUAUUAGAUUAAGACCGAUAGGUUGUUCGCAAGAGCAACUUGUUUAAAAGUUUAAGGUGACUCUGAGUAAAUAAUGGGUGAAAGCCCAUGAUGCUGACCUGACAUACAAACAGUUGGCUUUAAAACCAGCUGGUCAGGCAAAUCAAUCGAGUGUCUGCUCUAUCAACUGUGGAUGGUAGGAUAAUUGCCUACCAUGGUGGUGACGGGUAACGGGGAGUUAGGGCUCGACUCCGGAGAACAAGCCUGAGAAACGGCUAGUAGGACUAAGGUCUGCAGCAGGCGCGAAACUUACACAAUGCUAGAUUUAAAGUUAGCGAUGUAGUGAAGAAAAAUAACGAUGUACUUUUAUUUAAACAUAAUAGUACAAUUGGAAUGAGACGACUAUAAAUGAGUUAGUCGAGUAACAAAUGGAGGGCAAGUCUGGUGCCAGCAGCCGCGGUAAUUCCAGCUCCAUUAGCAUACAUUAAAGUUGUUGCGGUUAAAAAGCUCGUAGUUGAAUUUUAGACGAGCUCUAUGGGUUGUGGUCCGUUAAGGUUUUUGAGUGUGUGUUUUAAAACACACACACUCUAAAAUUGGGCUUACAAUUCCCUUAGGAACUCGUUGUUUCGUCACUUAAUCGAGUGCGAAGCGGGGUGGAACAAGAUGACACUUUCGGGUAUCACCUGUUACACCAUGUUUACCUUGAGAAAAUUAGAGUGCUCACAGCAGGCAGUUGGGGUGUAAAAGCUCCUUUUAUGCUUGAAUAAUGUUGCAUGGAAUAAUAGAAUACGGCCUCGGUUCUAUUCUGUUGGUCUUAUAGAACAACAAACAAGUUGGUUAUUUGGGUGCCAAACGGUUUAUUUACUUGUGUGGAUGUGGUCUCUUCGAGCGUGUCUUAUAUUUUGUUGCCUUAAAGUAAAAUUUAAGAGCCAUAUGUAGCAUCUUGUUUGAGCCAUGUUCAAUUUAAAGCACUUGUUUAUACAACUAACCCGAACCAACUGAGGCAAUGGUUAAAAGAAAUAGUUGCGGCGGCAUCAGUACUGCAUCGUGAGAGGUGAAAUUCUUAGACCGAUGCAAGACUAACUGAAGCGAAAGCGUUUGCCGAGGAUAUUUUCAUUAAUCAAGAACGAAAGUUAGAGGUUCGAAGGCGAUCAGAUACCGCCCUAGUUCUAACCAUAAACGUUGCCAACUAGCAAUUGGGUUGCGAUUCCUUUAAUCGAUUUAUGCGAAAGUAUAAUCGAUCAUUAUGAUCCACCCAGCGGCUCUCGUAGGGAAACCAAAGUGUUUGGGUUCCGGGGGAAGUAUGAUUGCAAAGUUGAAACUUAAAGGAAUUGACGGAAGGGCACCACCAGGAGUGGAGCCUGCGGCUUAAUUUGACUCAACACGGGGAAACUUACUAGAUUAAAACUCUGGAAUGAUUGACAGAUUGAUAGCUCUUUCUUGAUUCAGAGGAUGGUGGUGCAUGGCCGUUCUUGAUUCGUAUUCCGAAACGUCUGCUUAAUUGCGAUAACGAGUGAGACCUCACCCAACUAACUAGUCGUUUUGUGCGCUGUGGAACGCAAAAGUUUCUUGUAGGAUUUGUGGUUGGGCGUGGUGAUGUAAAAGUUGUCAUGUUUGCCACUGCCUAUUAUGAAAUGUUCUCUGCUUGCAAGCGGACUUCUUAGAGGGAUAAACGGUGUUUUAGCCGUAAGAAACGAGGCAAUAACAGGUCUGUGAUGCCCUUAGAUAUUCUAGGCCGCACGCGUGCUACAAUGGCGUGUGCAGAAAGCUUGUUCGAGGUUUGUCCAAAGAGAACUAAUUGUUUGGUUAGAUGUUGGGUAGCAAUAUUUGACGUUUAAUCGGCAGAAAAGUGACUUUGGUUUUACAAGCCGAGAGAAACCUUAGUCGAAAGAUUAGGGCAAUCAAAAAUACACGCCGUGAUUUGGGAUUGGGGAUUGCAAUUGUUGCCCAUGAACGAGGAAUUCCCAGUAAGCGCAAUUCAUCAUAUUGCGUUGAUUACGUCCCUGCCCUUUGUACACACCGCCCGUCGCUACUACCGAUUGGAAGUUUUAGUGAGGCAUUUGGACCUGCUGUCUAUUGGGAGGGGCAACUCUCCUUUGACGGCGGGGAAGUCUGUCGAACUCAAAUUUCUAGAGGAAGUAAAAGUCGUAACAAGGUUUCCGU